UUUAGCUAUUUGGAUCUGAAAGGAUAAUAAAUGAAAAACUACAUAAAUUCACCCCACUCCUCAUUUUGAUGAAAUUCAACCAUGCUCAGAAUGUACUCAAGAGGAAUGGAAAGAUCAGGGCUUGUCUCCAAUUCCAAAUGUAAGAUAAGAUAGUCUGCCAAGAAGAUGGCAGCCUGAAGGUUGCUUGACUCACUUUUGUAUUUUCCCUAGCCUUUCAACUGACAGAUAGAACUUGAGUUUCUCUUUUCCACUCUUCUGCUUUGCUAAGUCAAUCAUACUUAC
rnacentral:lncRNA from 1 species